GAGAAAAGCUCCUUAUCAUAGUUUGUUAAUGUAAACUGCGUAACGUAAGUUAGAUAUUUGUAACUAGAGGAAUAGUUCACUCCUCCGCUGUACGUGACGUUUGUCAGACUGAAUAUACACGAUAUUUGGAUUACAAUAAUGGGACGUAGGAAAAACGUUUGCAGCGCAUAGCAAGCGAGCAAGUUCAAAAGCCUCUCUCGUUAUCUACGAUGUCGUUAACUGGCGGACAUUUGAAAACCAAUGUCACGAGACACGAUUCAGGGUCAUAUUCAAUCAAUUCCAGUGAUAACUCGUGUAGUCAUACAAAGGUGAAAGAAAGAUUCAGUUAUGGGAGUCUCAGCUCCACGAGGGAGAGAAGACUGCCGACACACCGCUAGUUCAACAUUAGAACGACUUGUGGCGUUUUUCAGCACGUACACCAUAAACAUUGUACUAGUGUCGAGACUACAUUUUUAAAGAAGGAUUCAGAUGAUUAUGAUGUAGAAUUAUUGACACUCGAUGACUGUACUACAACGUUAAUCGUCCAGGACGUCUUCACACACGUAGCCGUGAAUCUACUAAUUUGAUGACAUUCGGUAUCGCCAAUGAAAUUCAGCCUAGACGGCGCCGAUGUAUCUGGUUUGAAUGCGGGUGUAGGGAUUAGGGAGAAUUAAUAGGUGAUGAGCGAUUGGUUUUGGCCUUGCAUGUUUGAAAACGCCACCCCUGGCGUUGAAUUUUUUUAUCGUUAUGCUGCAUUACGUGAUAUAUUUUGUUAAAAGAAGCCUCUUUGACAGGCGCCAAUUUGCUAUAAAGGCAAACUUGAAAUCGACUCCGUUAUAGCCCGGAAACGAGCAAUCGAUUGGUCGUUAACUUAACAGAUAACGUCUUGUUGUAGGUGUUCACUGUACCAAUUAUAAUGAUCAUAUUUAUAUAUUCUUAUAAUCAAUAUUUCGAAUGAUACAUUCUGAAAUAUGGCAGGUAUUCAUUCACCCGUGACAUUCACGUGAGUAAUUGAUUCCUAGACUAUUUAUUUACAUUUUAAAUAACCUUCAACUCAUGUAAUUUGCCAAUUAAGCUCGUUGAUGGCCGAGGAAUCGAUAUAACAAGUAAUGUAAAAUCAAUAGCAUGCUAUUUCAAAAGGAAAUAAUAAAUGCUUAGUUCCGUCGAUCAAGUUACGCUUCGUGAGCAAGAUAUAAUCACAAUGUCCCUGAGCUGCCAAAAUGGUCGGAACAGAUGAAUCAAACACUAACUGAUAUCAAAAUGCUUCCCUGUCUAUGUUUAUUCUUUCGCGUAUCUGUUUUGGACAAAACCUCUUUUAUUUUAAAAGAAUAUAUAGUAUUUAUGUAUGACAGAGGCAUCGCUUAACUCCCCAUUUAUACAUAUUUAGAAGGCGUCGAAUCGGACGCUAAUUUACAUGAAGACAGAUAUACAUUUGGGUAUACUCUACAAUAUUAGUCUACUUGCUUUUACACUAUAUAUUUAUCCACAAUAAACGCCUAAUUUACCGUG